GGUGAACGCUGGCGGCGGUGCCUAACACAUGCAAGUCGAGCGGUGCAGUUUGAAGCUUCGGUGGAAAGCUGCAUAGCGGCGGACGGGUGAGGAAAACGUAGGAACGUGCCCCUUGGAGUUGGAUAGCCACGGGAAACUGUGGGUAAACCGACAUAGACUCGAGAGAGUAAAGGCCGAAAGGCGCCAAGGGAGCGGCCUGCGGCCCAUCAGGUAGUUGGUAGUGUAAAGGACUACCAAGCCGACGACGGGUAGCCGGUCUGAGAGGAUGGCCGGCCACAAGGGCACUGAGAGACGGGCCCUACUCCUACGGGAGGCAGCAGUGGGGGAUUUUGGACAAUGGGCGAAAGCCUGAUCCAGCGACGCCGCGUGGAGGACGAAGCCCUUCGGGGUGUAAACUCCUUUUCUCAGGGAAAAAGGAUGAUGGUACCUGAGGAAUAAGCCCCGGCUAACUACGUG
rnacentral:rRNA from 1 species